GUGAGGAAUAUUGGUCAAUGGGCGAGAGCCUGAACCAGCCAAGUAGCGUGAGGGAUGACUGCCCUAUGGGUUGUAAACCUCUUUUGCAGGGGGGUAAAGUGGUUCACGUGUGGACCAUUGCAAGUACCCUGCGAAUAAGGAUCGGCUAACUCCGUGCCAGCAGCCGCGGUAAUACGGAGGAUCCGAGCGUUAUCCGGAUUUAUUGGGUUUAAAGGGAGCGUAGGCGGGGGUUUAAGUCAGCUGUGAAAUGCCGUGGCCCAACCAUGGAACUGCAGUUGAAACUGGACCUCUUGAGAGUACAUAAGGAAGGCGGAAUUCGUGGUGUAGCGGUGAAAUGCAUAGAUAUCACGAAGAACUCCGAUUGCGAAGGCAGCUUUCCGGGGUACAUCUGACGCUGAAGCUCGAAAGUGCGGGAAUCAAACAGGAUUAGAAACCCUUGUAGUCC
rnacentral:rRNA from 1 species